ensembl:lncRNA
CAUGUUAUUAUCCACUUUUACGCAGCAAUUAUUUGCAAAUGAGCGUCCCCGUGUGUCACGUGGUGCAACUUAUAGGCCUAAGCAUGGAAUUUUUUUUUUCUUUUCACGGAUUUAUUCACACUGGAUAAAUGACACACGAUGUGCGUUUCCAAGAAACUGCCGCUGAGCAACAACACCAGAGUUUCUUGGGUCAGAGUGGAGUUGGAGUAUAUCCAGGGAACAUUGUGCGUGAUGUGGGAAUACACCCUGGAUGGGAAGCCAAUCCGUCAUGUACACACACAAUUUCUGGAGAAUCCAAUCCGGAAGAAAUCACAAGGAGAACAUACGAAUCUCCACACAGAAUUGCGGAUCCUGGAGCCGGUGGUGACGGUGGUGAGGAAAAACCCCCUGAGAUGAUAUGAGGAAGAAACCUUGAGAGGAACCAGACUCAGAAGGGAACCCGUCCUCAUCUGGGUAACAUCGGAUAGUGUGAAAGUAAAAGAAAGUUCAUUAUGGUUUUUAUAUGAAGUCUGUUUGUUGAACUAGUC